UACGUAGGUGACAAGCGUUGUUCGGAUUUACUGGGCGUAAAGGGCGCGUAGGCGGUCGUGACAAGUCACUUGUGAAAUCUCCGGGCUUAACUCGGAACGGUCAAGUGAUACUGUCGGACUAGAGUACAGAAGGGGCAACUGGAAUUCUCGGUGUAGCGGUGAAAUGCGUAGAUAUCGAGAGGAACACCUGCGGCGAAGGCGGCGUCCUGGACCUGGCCUGACGCUCAGGAGCGAAAGCGUGGGGAGCGAUCCGG
rnacentral:rRNA from 1 species